CCAGAGCCCAAGUGUGUGAAGAUUUGUGCAUUAGAAGGAUAUAGAGGCCAAAGAGUAAAGUUAUUUGGCUGGGUCCACAGGCUGCGUAGACAAGGAAAGAAUUUAAUGUUCCUGGUGUUGCGGGAUGGUACAGGUUUCCUUCAGUGUGUCUUGUCCGAUGCUUUGUGCCAGUGUUACAAUGGAGUAGUCUUAUCUACUGAGAGUAGUGUUGCAGUAUAUGGAACACUAGCUCUUACCCCAAAAGGCAAACAAGCUCCAGGAGGCCAUGAGCUGAACUGUGACUUCUGGGAACUCACAGGGCUGGCUUCUGCCAGAGGAGCUGAUAACCUGAUCAACGAAGAGUCCAAUAUGGAUGUCCAGCUCAACAACAGGCACAUGAUGAUCCGGGGAGAAAACAUGUCCAAAAUCCUGCGAGCAUGCUCUGUGGUGACCAGGUGCUUCCGAGACCACUUCUUUGAUAGGGGGUACUAUGAAGUUACUCCUCCGACAUUAGUGCAAACGCAGGUUGAAGGCGGCUCCACACUCUUCAAGCUGGACUACUUUGGAGAAGAGGCAUUUUUAACUCAGUCCUCUCAGUUGUACCUGGAGACCUGCCUUCCAGCCCUGGGAGAUGUGUUCUGUAUUGCACAAUCAUACAGGGCAGAACAGUCCAGGACACGAAGGCACCUGGCUGAGGACACUCACGUGGAAGCAGAGUGCCCUUUCCUGACCUUUGAGGAUCUCCUGAAGCAGUUGGAGGACUUAGUUUGUGACAUUGUAGAUAGAAUCUUAAAGUCGCCAGCAGGAAGCAUAGUAUUGGAUCUCAACCCGAACUUUAAGCCCCCCAAACGACCUUUCAGACGGAUGAACUACACAGAUGCUAUUGUGUGGUUAAAAGAACAUAAUAUAAAGAAAGAAGAUGGGACUUUCUAUGAAUUUGGAGAGAAUAUCCCAGAAGCUCCUGAGAGACAGAUGACAGACACCAUUAAUGAACCAAUCUUGCUGUGUCAAUUUCCUGUGGAGAUCAAAUCCUUCUAUAUGCAGCGAUGUCCUGAGGAUCCCCUUCUUACUUAAUCAGUCGACGUGUUGAUGCCCAAUGUUGGUGAGAUUGUGGGCGGCUCCAUGUGCAUCUGGGAUAAUGAAGAAAUCCUGGCAGGUUAUAAAAGGGAUGGUAUUGAUCCCACUCCUUACUACUGGUAUACAGAUCAGAGAAAAUAUGGUCCAUGUACUCAUGGAGGAUAUGACUUGGGCCUGGAGCAGUUCCUGACUUGGAUCCUGAAUAGAUACCAUAUCCGAGAUGUGUGCUUGUACCCUCGAUUUGUCCAGCGCUCUGGCCUUGGAACUCACAUAGGAGUUGUUGGGAGAGGCGCAGGAUUAGCAUUGUUCCUCAAAGUGAUACCUAAGGAAGUACAAAUAAAGAUCUGGUCAAACAGGUCUGAGGCAGAGUCCUUGAGGAAAAUCCUAGAGGCUGUGGCUGCAGCUCCCCCCAUCCUUGUGUCCAGAGAUCUGCAGCUAUACAGUGAGUGGAAAAGAAAGAACUAUGGGAAACUCAGCAGGAACCUGAAUGAAGUGAAUAAAGCCCACUGA